rnacentral:rRNA from 1 species
AUGUCUUCGGAAUCUACCUUCAGCGCAACCGGAAGGAUUUUAGAUGACUAUAGGAGUUCGUUAAAACCGGUUAUGGUGGAGGCAUUAGUUUGUGGUGCAAGUUAUAUCAAGGGUGCUCAUGUUGACUUGAAUCUGGUGCCGAGGGAUGAGAAUGAAGAGGAUGAUGUUGAGAACAUCAAGUUACCCACUGUGGUGGAGGAGAUCAACGAUUGGUAA